rnacentral:rRNA from 1 species
CCCUGCCAUUUGUACACACCGCCCGUCGCUUCUACCGAUGAAUGAUCCGGUGAACACUUUGGACUUGUGCUUGUUGUGGGCAACUACGCAGGUAACGGGGAAGUUGUGUAAACCUUAUCAUUUAGAGG